ACGGGGUUUCAUUGUGUUAGCCAGGAUGGUCUCGAUUUCCUGACUUGGUGAUCCGCCCUCCUCGGCUUCCCAAAGUGCUGGGAUUACAGGUGUGAGCCACCGCGCCCGGCCUUGCAUCUGUAUUUACAAAGGAACUCCAUUAGGGUGGAUGGAGAGGAAGAGACUAAGGAUUCACACAUCACGAAGACAUUUGUGGAAGACGGAGUGUGUUUCCAUUAUCCUUUCAGAGUUUGCAAACGAGGCGGUGCCCAGCAUAGACAGGUUCUCUGCCCACCCAUCCUGAAUCCACAAGGCCACAGAUGCAGAAAGGAUAUUUAAUAAAGUUCAACACUGAGUCCUGACAAACACUGCAAGAAAGCUCAAACGGAAAGGAAGUUCCUUACUGUGAUUGAGAAUAUAUCAUACUUCUGGUAUGCUACUGAAAGCUUCUGAGGUUGGGGAUAAGACAAGGGCUCUGUCUGUCACCAUUUCUCUUGAACCUUACAAUGGAAUUUGGCACUAUGGGAGUUGCAAAUCAACACAGUGGCCACUCAAGGAGAAGCAAGGGGUGGCUGGAAGGAGAGGUGCCCCUGGAGUUCUGUAAAAUCUGCUUCUUGAUGUGCCUUUGAGUGUUCUCUUUGUGUAAAUUCUUUGAACUGCACUCUUAUGAUUUGUGCAUAUUUCCCUAUGAAAAUUAUACCUCAAUAAAAUAUUGACUUAAAUAACA
rnacentral:lncRNA from 10 species